rnacentral:lncRNA from 1 species
CUGGACGCGGAGGAUGCUAAUUCACGUUAUCAAUGCCUCAGUUGUGAACGCAUGGCUGGAGUACAGAAGUGAUGCAGCUGCACGAGGACUGAUGCCUGGCAAG